UGAGACAGCAGUGAGGUGAGACAGCAGUGAGGUGAGACAGCAGUGAGGCGAGACAGCAGUGAGGCGAGACAGCAGUGAGGCGAGACAGCAGUGAGGUGAGACAGAGGUGAGGCGAGACAGCAGUGAGGCGAGACAGCAGUGAGGGGAGACAGCAGUGAGGUGAGACAGCAGUGAGGCGAGACAGCAGUGAGGUGAGACAGAGGUGAGGCGAGACAGCAGUGAGGUGAGACAGCAGUGAGGUGAGACAGCAGUGAGGUGAGACAGCAGUGAGGUGAGACAGCAGUGAGGCGAGACAGCGGUGAGGUGAGACAGAGGUGAGGCGAGACAGCAGUGAGGUGAGACAGAGGUGGGCGAGACAGAGGUGAGGCGAGACAGCGGUGAGGUGAGACAGCAGUGAGGUGAGACAGAGGUGAGGCGAGACAGCAGUGAGGCGAGACAGCCGUGAGGUGAGACAGCCGUGAGGUGAAACAGCCGUGAGGUGAGACAGAGGUGAGGCGAGACAGCAGUGAGGCGAGACAGCCGUGAGGUGAGACAGCCGUGAGGUGAGACAGAGGUGAGGCGAGACAGCCGUGAGGUGAGACAGCCGUGAGGUGAGACAGCAGUGAGGUGAGACAGUGGUGAGGCGAGACAGCAGUGAGGUGAGACAGCAGUGAGGUGAGACAGCAGUGAGGUGAGACAGAGGUGAGGUGUGAGGCGAGACAGCAGUGAGGUGAGACAGUGGUGAGGCGAGACAGCAGUGAGGUGAGACAGCAGUGAGGUGAGACAGCAGUGAGGUGAGACAGAGGUGAGGCGAGACAGAGGUGAGGCGAGACAGCAGUGAGGUGAGACAGCGGUGAGGCGAGACAGCCGUGAGGUGAGACAGCCGUGAGGUGAGACAGCAGUGAGGCGAGACAGCAGUGAGGUGAGACAGCCGUGAGGUGAGACAGCGGUGAGGUGAGACAGAGGUGAGGUGUGAGGCGAGAGGGACAGAUGAAAAAACUCAGACUGUUUGCAGACGAUUGUGUGAUCUGCUUCCAGGAGGAAACCUGAAGGUCGGAUAAACGUUUGAUUCUCUUCACUUAGAACAGAAAUGAAUUCAUCAGAUUAACGUUAAAAGGCCCUGAUGUCCAAAAUCUGACAAAGGUAAACUGUUCAGAAACUUUCGUUUAGUUGCGGGUGUUUUUGUGGAGCCUGUCAGCGGUUCUGUCCGGGUCUCUGGUUCUGAACGGCUCGGUGGACAACAAUCCACUGAUCCAGAUUCAAGUGUUUCCCUGAAUCCUAACCAAGUUGAUCCAGACUCCAACAGUCCAGUCCUGUCCUCUCUGCUCAGUCUCUGCUCAGGAGACGGUUCCCAACGGCCGGGUCCAAACCGGACAGGAGCCCAGUCCCACAC